rnacentral:rRNA from 1 species
CGCAUCUGUGCAUGCAGCAUAUCAAUAAGCGGAGGAAAAGAAACUAACAAGGAUUCCCUUAGUAACGGCGAGUGAAGCGGGAAGAGCUCAAAUUUGAAAUCUUCAAGGUUUUACCUUGACGAAUUGUAGUUUAAAGAAGUGUUUUCUGUUGAAGUUUUGGUAAAAGUUCUUUGGAAUAGGACAUCAUAGAGGGUGAGAAUCCCGUAUUUGACCAUUAUUUUCAGCUGUGUGAUACACUUUCAAAGAGUCGGAUUGUUUGGGAAUGCAGUCCAAAAUGGGUGGUAAAUUUCAUCUAAAGCUAAAUAUUGGCGAGAGACCGAUAGCGAACAAGUACCGUGAGGGAAAGAUGAAAAGAACUUUGAAAAGAGAGUUAAACAGUACGUGAAAUUGUCAAAAGGGAAGCGUUUGGCACCAGUGUUGUUUUCUCGAAAAUCAAUUAAAAAGAGUUUGAUUUUGUUGUGUAUUGACCUUAACAGCUUGCAUUUCAAUUUUCUUGCUUUUUUUAAUGCACUUUUCGUUUAACAAGUCAACAUCAGUUUCUUUUGUUGUAAAAAGGUCAUUGGAAGGUGGCUUUCUUUUCGGAGAAAGUGUUUAUAGCCUUUGACUCCUGCAAUCGGAGAGACUGAGGUCUGCAGCGUAGAUCCUUCGGGGUUAGAUACAUUUGUGCUAAGUUAUAGCUUUUUAUAGACAACUUGUUGACUAUGAUUAGUCUUGUAGCUUACUCGCUUAUGCUAUUUUACCUACGCUUAGGAUGUUGAUGUGAUACUGCGAGCA